GGUGACGGCACCAGUAAUGGACACGGCACCAAUUAUGGACAUUUUUUUCGUUGAUCGAAUUUAUUAAGCAACUGUCGCAACAUUUUGAACUGGCAACACUAAAAUCACAAUCAACAGACGUUUGGGCUAUUAUAUUGACACACGUCACCAAAAUCGGCCACUUUGUUUUAAGAUAGCUGCGAAGUGAAAUCUCGUUACGCGUGGUGGUCAUGAAAAUCCGUUUUUACUAUUGAAAACGUUAAGGAAAUGGCACCAAGACAAAAUUACACCGCCAAACAAAUGGGGAGAGCAUUGGAUGCUGUAAAGAUGGGGGAAAAGAUAAGCACGGCUGCCCUCCGGUUUGAUGUUCCUCGAAUAACCUGGGUUAUCUCCGCCAUAUCGAAUAACAAAUGAUCGAAAGUAAAAAUAUCAAACAAGUUUCAUCGAAAACUCAAAACAUCGAACGAUUAAAAUA